rfam:Oryza glumipatula chromosome 2, whole genome shotgun sequence.
CCGUAGUUUAGUUGUGGGUUUCUAUGUUAUACGUUUGACUAUUCGUUUUAUUUAAUUUAUUUUAUGAAUAGUAUUUUAUUGUUAUUAGAUAAAAAAUGAAUAGUACUUUAUGCGUAAUUUAUAUUUUUAAUUUUUUUAAAUAAGACGGAUGGUUAAAUGUUAUAUACCGAAACCCACAGGGAGCCUGGGA